UGGCUCUGCCUUCUGUGGUACAUUUUUCCCUGCUAUGGGCUGGAAAAAGUGGUUAGAGGAGAUGCACGAGGUGAAGCACUUCUGUCUUCCUGGGGACCUACGGCUGCUACAUUUUUCUUAAGUAGAGAAGGAUAAUUGCAUUUGUAUCUACUCUGCACGACUGCUCUGCUGCCAGGUUCUCAGUUGCUCUUCUUGCCU
rnacentral:lncRNA from 1 species